UAGAUACUGGCAGGCUAGAGUACUGGGAGGAAAGUGGAAUUCCAUGUGUAGCGGUAAAAUGCGUAGAUAUAUGGAGGAACACCAGUGCGAAGGCGGCUUUUCUAGCCAGUAACUGACGCUGAGGCACGAAAGCGUGGGGAGCAAAUGGAUUAGAUACCCUAGUAGUCCACGCUGUAAACGAUGAAUACUAAGUGUUGGGGAAACUCGUGCUGCAGCUAACGCAAUAAGUAUUCCGCCUGUGGAGUAUGCACGCAAGUGUGAAACAUAAGGAAUUGACGGGGGCCCGCACAAGCGGUGGAGUAUGUGGUUUAAUUCGACGCAACGCGAGAACCUUACCAGGCCUUGACAUCCCUUGCGAAGUCCUAGAGAUAGGAUAGAGGUUAUCAGGUGACAGGUGGUGCAUGGUUGUCGUCAGCUCGUGUCGUGAGAUGUUGGGUUAAGUCCCGAACGAGCGCAACCCUUGUCUUCAGUUACCAAUAUUAAGUUAGGGACUCUGAAGAGACUGCGGUGAUAAACCGGAGGAAGGUGGGGAUGACGUCAAAUCAUCAUGCCCCUUAUGGCCUGGGUACACACGUACUACAAUGGCUGUUACAGCGAGACGCAACACGGCGACGUGGAGCAAAUCUUUAAAGGCAGUCUCAGUUCGGAUUGAAGUCUGCAACUCGACUUCAUGAAGUUGGAAUCGCAGUAAUCGCGGAUCAGCAUGCCGCGGUGAAUUCGUUCCCGGGCCUUGUACACACCGCCCG
rnacentral:rRNA from 1 species